CUACGGGAGGCAGCAGUGGGGAAUAUUGGACAAUGGGCGAAAGCCUGAUCCAGCAAUGCCGCGUGAGUGAUGAAGGCCUUAGGGUUGUAAAGCUCUUUUACCAGGGAUGAUAAUGACAGUACCUGGAGAAUAAGCUCCGGCUAACUCCGUGCCAGCAGCCGCGGUAAUA
rnacentral:rRNA from 1 species